rnacentral:rRNA from 1 species
UGGGGAAUCUUAGACAAUGGGGGAAACCCUGAUCUAGCCAUGCCGCGUGAGCGAUGAAGGCCUUAGGGUUGUAAAGCUCUUUCAGCUGGGAAGAUAAUGACGGUACCAGCAGAAGAAGCCCCGGCUAACUCCGUGCCAGCAGCCGCGGUAAUACGGAGGGGGCUAGCGUUGUUCGGAAUUACUGGGCGUAAAGCGCACGUAGGCGGAUUAGUCAGUCAGAGGUGAAAUCCCAGGGCUCAACCCUGGAACUGCCUUUGAUACUGCUAGUCUUGAGGUCGAGAGAGGUGAGUGGAAUUCCGAGUGUAGAGGUGAAAUUCGUAGAUAUUCGGAGGAACACCAGUGGCGAAGGCGGCUCACUGGCUCGAUACUGACGCUGAGGUGCGAAAGCGUGGGGAGCAAAACAGGAUUAGAUACCCUGGUAGUCCACGCCGUAAAACGAUGAAUGCCAGUCGUCGGGUUGCAUGCAAUUCGGUGACACACCUAACGGAUU